AGUGAACGCUGGCGGUAGGCCUAACACAUGCAAGUCGAACGGCAGCACAGUAAGAGCUUGCUCUUACGGGUGGCGAGUGGCGGACGGGUGAGGAAUACAUCGGAAUCUACUUUUUCGUGGGGGAUAACGUAGGGAAACUUACGCUAAUACCGCAUACGACCUACGGGUGAAAGCAGGGGAUCUUCGUACCUUGCGCGAUUGAAUGAGCCGAUGUCGGAUUAGCUAGUUGGCGGGGUAAAGGCCCACCAAGGCGACGAUCCGUAGCUGGUCUGAGAGGAUGAUCAGCCACACUGGAACUGAGACACGGUCCAGACUCCUACGGGAGGCAGCAGUGGGGAAUAUUGGACAAAGGGCGCAAGCCUGCUCCAGCCAUACCGCGUGGGUGAAGAAGGCCUUCGGGUUGUAAAGCCCUUUUGUUGGGAAAGAAAAGCAGCAGGUUAAUACCCCGCUGUUCUGACGGUACCCAAAGAAUAAGCACCGGCUAACUUCGUG
rnacentral:rRNA from 1 species